AACUGGUUCAUAUGAUAUGCCACCAUGACUCUCUCUCUCUCUCUCUCUCUCUCUCUCUCUGUGCGUGACUCUGCCUCCCCACUGCUCAUCCAGUCGUCUUCAGCCUCCAGCCCACGGGUUCUCUCUGUGCGGCAAAGACCCUCUCCGUCUCAGCGUGUCUCCUCGAUCGUUGAGGCGUCGAUGGCCCUUUCUACACUCGACGGUGACGAACUAACGGUGCAAAGCAGAAAGCCUGAAACAAGCUUGGUUAGUUGCUGAAAUCAAGCUUGGUUAGCUGGUUCUGAAAUUGGCAUUCAACAAUUUAUGUUCUUAAAUUGUUCUUUUGUUGCUGAUAUUGCUUGCUUCUAUGUUUUGGGGUUUACUUUCGAGUUUGUGAAGAGUAAAGAUUGAUUCUUUUCUCAUGUAAAUUGAGGGGAUUGAUGGGAGUUUGAAGAAAUGGGGUUUUUGUUGUUAGUUAAAACGGGCUGUGUGUCCUGCUGAACAAAGUUUGAGUCUUUUCUCAUGUAAAUUGAGAGCCCUGAAGGGAAUUUGAAGAGAUAGAACAGGUAUACGUUCUAUUUUGAUUUCUGAA